AUACGUAGGGGGCGAGCGUUGUCCGGAAUGAUUGGGCGUAAAGGGCGCGUAGGCGGCCUGUUAAGUCUGGAGUGAAAGUCCUGUUUUCAAGAUGGGAAUUGCUUUGGAUACUGAUGGGCUUGAGUGCAGGAGAGGUUAUCGGAAUUCCCGGUGUAGCGGUGAAAUGCGUAGAGAUCGGGAGGAACACCAGUGGCGAAGGCGGGUAACUGGACUGCAACUGGCGCUGAGGCGCGAAAGUGUGGGGAGCAAACAGGAUUAGAUACCCUGGUAGUCCACACUGUAAACGAUGAAUGCUAGGUGUAGGGGGUAUCGACCCCUUCUGUGCCGCAGUCAACACAAUAAGCAUUCCGCCUGGGGAGUACGGCCGCAAGGUUGAAACUCAAAGGAAUUGACGGGG
rnacentral:rRNA from 1 species